UAGCAUAUCACUAAGCGGAGGAAAAGAAACUAACUAGGAUUCCCCCAGUAACUGCGAGUGAAGAGGGAAGAGCUCAUCAUUGGAAUCUGGCAGCGUUGCGCUGUCCGAGUUGUAGAUGAGAAGAGUAGGCCAUCUGGGCUGCAUGGUGUCCAAGUACAAUAGGCCGUCAGUGGGACAUCAUAGAGGGUGACAAUCCCGUCCUUGACACCAAUGUACGAGUCCUUUACGAUGCCUAUCUCGGAGAGUCGAGCAGUUUGGGAUUUGCUGCUUAAACAUGGGAGGUAGAUUCCUUCCAAAGCUAAAUACAGGCAAGAGACCGAUAGAGAACAAGUACCGCAAGGGAAAGAUGAAAUAGAACUCUGUGAAGGGAGUCAAAAGACGUGAAAUUGUUGCGAGAGAAGCGAUUCAAGUCAGCGUAGCUGGGCCCAUCAAGCCUCGCGCUUUGGACCAGCUUUGCCAGCGGUCUUGUCCCUAGAGACUUGACUAAGGUGCCCUGCCCGGUCUAACGGGCAGACCUCCCCUGGAGGCCAGUGGCAUGGCUGGUGGAAUGGCUUGCAAUCGACCCGUCUUGAAACACGGACCAAGGAGUCUAACAUGCAUGCGAGUAUAAGGGUGGCAAACCCGUAUGCGCAAAGAAAGUGAUAGCCUUUUAUGGCCGAGAAUGACCUGAUGACCAGACAAGCAAUAUUAUGUCCCUCGUACGGUCAUUGCCCAAGUCCCAUGGUCAGAUCCCAUGGACAUGGAGUUGGAGCGUGCAUGCUAGGACCCGAAAGAUGGUGAACUAUGCCUGGACAAAGCGAAGCCAAAGGAAACUCUGGUGGAGGCUUGUAGCGAUUCUGACGUGCAAAUCGAUCGUCUGAUCUGGGUAUAGGGGCGAAAGACUAAUCGAACCAUCUCAUAGCUGGUUCCUGCAG
rnacentral:rRNA from 1 species